UACGAAGGGGGCUAGCGUUGCUCGGAAUCACUGGGCGUAAAGGGUGCGUAGGCGGGUCUUAAGUCAGGGGUGAAAUCCUAGAGCUCAACUCCAGAACUGCCUUUGAUACUGAAGAUCUUGAGUUCGGGAGAGGUGAGUGGAACUGCGAGUGUAGAGGUGAAAUUCGUAGAUAUUCGCAAGAACACCAGUGGCGAAGGCGGCUCACUGGCCCGGUACUGACGCUGAGGUGCGAAAGCGUGGGGAGCAAACAGG
rnacentral:rRNA from 1 species